UACAGAGGUCUCAAGCGUUUGUUCGGAUUCAUUGGGCGUAAAGGGUGCGUAGGCGGCGCGGUAAGUCGGGUGUGAAAUCUCGGGCUUAACUCCGAAACUGCAUUCGAUACUGCCGUGCUUGAGGACUGGAGAGGAGACUGGAAUUUACGGUGUAGCGGUGAAAUGCGUAGAUAUCGUAAGGAAGACCAGUGGCGAAGGCGGGUCUCUGGACAGUUCCUGACGCUGAGGCACGGAAGGCCCAGGGGAGCAAACGGG
rnacentral:rRNA from 1 species